UGCCAGCCGCCGCGGUAAUACGGAGGGGGCUAGCGUUGUUCGGAAUUACUGGGCGUAAAGCGCACGUAGGCGGUUUAUCAAGUUGGGCGUGAAAGCCCGGGGCUCAACCCCGGAACUGCGCUCAAAACUGGUAGGCUAGAGACCGGGAGAGGUAAGCGGAAUUCCCAGUGUAGAGGUGAAAUUCGUAGAUAUUGGGAAGAACACCAGUGGCGAAGGCGGCUAACUGGCUCGGUACUGACGCUGAGAUGCGAAAGCGUGGGGAGCAAACAGGAUUAGAUA
rnacentral:rRNA from 1 species